AGUGAACGCUGGCGGUAGGCCUAACACAUGCAAGUCGAACGGCAGCACAGUAAGAGCUUGCUCUUACGGGUGGCGAGUGGCGGACGGGUGAGGAAUACAUCGGAAUCUACUUUUUCGUGGGGGAUAACGUAGGGAAACUUACGCUAAUACCGCAUACGACCUACGGGUGAAAGCAGGGGAUCUUCGGACCUUGCGCGAUUGAAUGAGCCGCUGUCGGAUUAGCUAGUUGGCGGGGUAAAGGCCCACCAAGGCGACGAUCCGUAGCUGGUCUGAGAGGAUGAUCAGCCACACUGGAACUGAGACACGGUCCAGACUCCUACGGGAGGCAGCAGUGGGGAAUAUUGGACAAUGGGCGCAAGCCUGAUCCAGCCAUACCGCGUGGGUGAAGAAGGCCUUCGGGUUGUAAAGCCCUUUUGUUGGGAAAGAAAAGCAGCAGGUUAAUACCCCGCUGUUCUGACGUUACCCAAAGAAUAAGCACCGGCUAACUUCGUG
rnacentral:rRNA from 1 species